rnacentral:lncRNA from 1 species
UGUGUUUUUAACAUUUUUUUCUUACGAAAAAAUUCGUAUCAUUUAUAGUUCUAUGUUUAUAUACAUAUUAUAUGUAUAUAAAUUUAUAGUUAAUAAGCUACUUUAUAUACACACACACAAACACACACACACACACACACACACACACACAUAUAUGUAUAUUAUUUAGAGAUUUUUGUUUGAACAAUGUAUAAAAAAUACAAAAAAUCAGUUGUUGCCAGUAGUAAAAAAAGAAGAAAGAGAACUGCUCAUAAGAAAGGAAACGUUGCAAAAAGUAAAGUUGCCACUAGUUUGAAAAAAGAAACUAAAAUGACUGUUGUACAGAAUGUUAAUAACAAGGAGGUGAUUGUGUUACCAAACAUUCAAACUGAAUUUGUUGUUAGUGCUAAUGUCGUAAAACCAUUAGUUGAUGAUUUAUCUUCACGUCCAUUUGAAGGAACUCGUUCAAAAACUUGCCUCCAUAUGUUGAAUAUCGAGAAUGUAUCUAAAUUGAGUCGUGCUAAAGGUUCAAGUAAGAAACUUACUGUUGCAAAAAAAUGUUCACAGAAACCUAUGAAUGGGAAAUCCUCAAGCUCUAAAAAGGUAUUACAAAAAGUUGUUAUUAGUGCUAAGCAAGUAUGUUCUAACGAAAGGAACUACCAAAUAACUAGUAAAACAAAAGGUAAAAAAGGUUUAAAUGUUGUUACUAAGAGUAAAACUAUUGCUGAAUCAAGUAAGAAGUCUGUUGAAGGCAAACAAAUUGCAUUAUACCGUGGUUAUUGUUCUGAUGAUGAAAUAAUAUAUAAUGUUAGAAAGAGUAGAAAGAGUAGAAAGAGUGGUAGUGCUAAGCGUUCAAGUUGUUAUGACAACUCAUUUAAUGAUUGUAUGUAUGAACCAAACAUAUUUGACAAUGCUGCGUUUGUAAUAGAUGAAAAUUCAAGCCAAGAUGAAUUGAAGAGUUGUGUGUAUAAGUCAAAGAUGAGUACUCAAUUUGUUGAUGUUGAGAAGUUUGAAAAGUAUCAAAAUGAAUUGUUACAUGAUGGUUAUUGUUCUGAUGUAAGUCGACCACAUAGUAGUGUACUAAGGACGAAUCAAAAACGCAAACAAUUAUUAGUUAAGCAGCAAAAAGUGUUAAAUAGACAAUUGAGUUCAUUGGUGAAAUUUGUCAAGUAUGGUAAAUCAUCGAAUAGUGCAUCAAAAGAAAGUGAAACGGCAAAGGAAGUGAUAGAUGUUGAAGCAGUAACAGAUGUUGAAACAGUAGCAGAUAUUGAAGCAGUAACAGAUGUGGAAACAGUAGCAGAUGUGGAAACAGUAGCAGAUAUUGAAGCAGUAACAGAUAUUGAAGCAGUAACAGAUGUGGAAACAGUAGCAGAUGUUGAAGCAGUAACAGACGUUGAAACAGUAGCAGAUGUCGAAGCAGUAGCAGAUGUCGAAGCAGUAGCAGAUNNNNNNNNNNUAGCAGAUGUCGAAGCAGUAGCAGAUGUCGAAGCAGUAGCAGAUGUCAAAGUAGUAGCUGAUGAUAACAGUUGUGAUGUAGAAAUGGGUUAUUUCGAAAAUGCAUAUGUAAGCAAUGAUAAUGUAGAAGUUGAAAGAAGUUGUGAAGCAUCUGAUGGAAUGUACAACGCAGAAGCAGAUAAAAUGGAGAGAAUUGAUGAGUAUGUUAUGCCUAAGUCUAAUGUUGCGGCGCCAAAGGUACGAAAGACAUCAUUUAAGAGAAAACUUAUGAAAUUUAUUGCUAAACCUGUAAUUAAGUUAAAACUUGUUAUGGAUGCAUAUUUUAGAAAUAACGUUGAACAAAUGAGACCAGUAGGAUUAAUUACAUCUGCCGAUUUUUAUAGUGAUAGAGAUAUAAACUUUAAGAUGAAUGAUAAUUUUCUUCCAUUUCAAACUGAUGAUAACAAUGUAAUUUUAUCGCUUCUAAAUAGAUCUGAG